GAGAGUAUAGCUCAGUGGUAGAGUGCGUGCUUAGCAUGCACGAGGUCCUGGGUUCCAUCCCCUGAACCUCCA
rnacentral:tRNA from 1 species